rnacentral:rRNA from 1 species
AUGAAUAUCCUUUCUUGGAACUGCCGGGGGGAGGGGGGGCGCUGGACAGUUCAUGAGGUUUUGGCCCUCUCAAAAGCCAAUAACCCCAAGCUAGUCUUCCUUUGUGAGACUAGACAAGUGUCUUUGAGGAUUGAAAAAUUGCGAUGGAGGCUAGGCCUAAAGGGCUUCCAUGGUGUCGACAGUGAUGGUAGAAGUGGCGGCUUAGCCCUUUUCUGGGAUGAGUCGCUGAUGGUA